GGCCAAUUCCAGAGCUUGUACUUUAAAUUGGCCACUUUUUUAUAUUAAUUGCCUUUUAGGUGGCAUCUCUAUGUGCCAGAAAAUUUACCAAUUUCUGCAUACACGUGUAUCCAGGAGAAAAUGUAUGUAUUUUAAGGGUUCUGUACACAAAAUUGGAAAUUUGGUGGGGAGGGGGGAUAGCACCCAACCUUUGUUUUACCGGUCGACACAAAAUUUGGUGGGCAUGUUUAUCGUAAUGGGACGCACGGAAAAGCUAUCACAACCCAUGCAUAAAAUUGAAGAGGAAGUUGCCCAUUUUGGUUUGAAGCAGCCAUUUUGGGGCAAAUCCCAGUGUUAUGCCUCAAAUUAACCAAUUUUUGCAAGCACUUGAUGCAAACAAAUGUUUGUAUUUUAGGGGUCCCAAACAAGACAUCACAAAAGUCAUUCAGGAGGAUUCACCGUGAAAAGGGCGAGUGCGAGGGUCCGAUAAUUGCUGCUCUCAACUUUAAUUUACAGUUGAUUUCAAUCAGCACUCCAGUUUUGUGCUGUGAAAGGGAUGAGUAUGAACUCGUUGCCACUCAUCGGGAUGAAAGAAAAUCAUUGAUUUGGCCAAGCCAACAAAAAGCGCCUCUUACAUCUCGUCACUGUGGAGUGUUCUGAUGCUUUUAUUUUCAUGGCUAAAGGUGCUCCAAAGAAAGAGAGGACAAUCGACUUGUGACGACACUUGGGGAGAAGUUUUCGAGGGGCUUUGAAAAGCUGCCUGAUGUUAGUGUUUCGCUGUAUUCGCUUUGCUUGGAUAAAGUCAACUCAAGGUUUUUGCUGGAAUGUUUCAAAAACAAGAGGAGCGGCUUUCCCACAUAUUAGCAUUUCAUCCGCAGGAAGUUUGUUGAGUUUGUCAGUGUUGGAAAAUUUGGAACCGAAACGGAAAUACUUUUCUUUGCAAGUGUCUGUCCUGACUACUCAUUACAGCACAGCUAUCAGAUAGAAUGGAGUAGGGCAGCUAAAAAGUCCACUGGCCUUGAGCUUUCUGCCCGUCAUGUGUCAUCAAAGUGUGAGUGGUUGCUUUUUUUUUUUAUAGUUUUGACUUCUUCUCACGCUUGUAUCGUAGCUAAGAACAAGCAAUGAUGAUUCGCCUUCUCAAAGUCUCCCUUAUAACGUCCCGUCCAUCACCCACCAUCAAAGGCUAAGAACAUGCAAAGUGGACUCGCCUUCUGAAAGCCUCGCUCUCCCUCUCCGUUUCCUUAAAUGCUCCCUGUCCAUGACCCUCCAACAAAGGCGACACGGCAGCUGUCCGAGCUGACAGAAGAUCCAUCUGUGGAGUUUCGGUUCCCCCUCUUGGAGAUGCCUCCCGCGACUAAAUGGGGAUUCAUCACGGAGAUGCUCGGUGUGUUGAGAUGGGAAACGAUGCGUUCCCAGGACGCGCUUUUAAAGACGUUCCAUCUCAGUUAGUUUGGCACCUUUCACAUUGCGCUCACGUGCAACGCAAGCCAAAAAGGACCACCAGACUCAUUUAAAAACAAAUCUUCCCCUGGAGCCAGGAACUUUUGUCUAAAUUGAGUUCCAAGGUCAUUUCUGUCGGCCAAAAGAUUCUAAUGUUCUGCUUGUAAAAUUAUUUGGGUUUUUCUUUUAAUAUUGACUUUUUCCAAAAUAUGUUCGACUUUUUUUCUUGUGAUAUUCCUACCUUAUUUAAAAAAAAUAUGACUUUAUUCUUCAAAAUGUACGGUAUUCUUAAAAAUGUGCGACUUUGUUCCCCUGAAUUCCACGUUCCUAUGAGUGAAAAUAUGUUUUUCUUGAAAUACUGUAUACUGUACUGUAUAUAAAUACUACUAAUUUAUUCUACACAAUGUGUGACUUUUUUUCAUUAUAUUCUGAAAAAAAAGUGACUUUUCUCCCCUGGUACUAUCUUGACUUAAUUCAUAUUCCCAUUUGCUAUUCUUAAAAUAUGUUUUUUUUCUCUUGUAAUAUUAUGACCUCAUUCUCAAACAUUUGUGAAUUGUUCUUAUUAGAUUAGGACUGUUCUCGAAAAAUUUCACUUUUUUCCCCUUAAUACAGUAUAACGGUAAAUCUGGAAAAAUGUCAAUUUACAGCUUCUUCUGCAAUAUCAUUAAUAAAUGUAAUAGUGCAGCCUUGGCGGAGGUCUGCGCUCUACAGUGUCACUCAAGUUAACCACUUGUGAUUCAUCACAAUUCAUUGCAUUUUGUGCGUGUGUGUGUGUGCGUGUGUGCUUGUUGGCACGGUCACGUUUGAUCAAAGUGUAUCCAACAUGCACAUAUGCAUUACAUUAUAUAAUAACGCAACGUUUCAGUUUCAGUGAUCUGGAGAAGGCAAAGACAGCUGUGCUAAUGAAUUAUGAAUACAUUAGCGCUGCAGCUCCAGGCAAAAUGUAAAAUGGGAUCAAUAAAAAGCAAAAGCACAGCGUGAAAUGCUGUUUUUAUAGCACUGCAAAUUGUUAAAUCAAAGUGUGUAUCAUUAGCAAAGGUUCGUUUGUUAGUAGGGGCGAACGCACCGGCGGUGGGCUGUGCAUUUGGUACCUUCCUCUUAAUAUCAGUCAUAGAAACCAUCCGUUCUAUGCAACAACGGAAUAUAACAGCAUGCAAGCGUGCCAACU